CCCAGCACGCCUUUCGCGCUCGUAUAUGACUUUUCCGCUCGGGGAUAACCUUAAUCGAAAUAGCAUCGAUUAUUCUGAACAUUCGUAGCACAUCUACUCGUUCACAUCUAUCAGAAGAGGAAAAUCGCAGCGAAAAUUGCAAGUAUAGGAGACUACUGCAUGUCGUAAAAGUCUCUUUCCCGACAACCUGUCUCGUAUUACAUUUCGAAUUCAAUUUUUCUAAUAUAAAUAUCUCGGCGAGUAUUUACCGCCCCCCCCCCCUUUUAAAUAAAUGCCACCAUUGAAAUCCUCACAAUAUAACCUUUCGAACGGGGGGUCAAGUGCCGUCAAAACAUUACACAAACCGAAACAAUCAUAUAUUUUAUACUCACUGCUUCGCCAAACAUUCAAAGGAGAAAAUGAGAAAAAGUUGAAUAUAUUGUAAACUUUGGUGUCAUUUCCUGAAAGGAUAUGUGUAAAAUACUCUUUGUAUUCAAGCGCUUUCGCAGACCUCUCAACUUUGCAGAGAAGUUAAGAGUGAGAUUGAAAAAAAUUUUUCCGGAAAGAUUAUUUCGGCGACCUUCCCCCCCCCCCGUCGCCAAAAAAUUUUCGAAAACACAAAAUUUUCGAAAAAUCACAAAAUUUGCCAAAAAAUUGACUUAUUUUUAGACAAAAUUUACAGAAUUUGUCACAUUUUUUUUUAUUGCAACCCAAAAUUGCCCGACUGUUGAUCGAAUAUUACCCGAUUGCCCAAAAAAAUUUUUAUGCGUUAGAUUUACUAAACGUGGCGUGAGAGAGAGCGUGAGACUGAAGCGAAUUGCGUGAGACUCACGCCGAAUGCGUGAGAAUUGAG